rnacentral:rRNA from 1 species
UGGCGGCAUGCCUUACACAUGCAAGUCGAACGGCAGCACGGGAGCAAUCCUGGUGGCGAGUGGCGAACGGGUGAGUAAUAUAUCGGAACGGUGCCCAGUCGGUGGGGGAUAACGUAGACGAAAGCUACGCUAAUACCGCAUACGAUCUAUGGAUGAAAGGCGGGGGAUCGCAAGACCUCGCGCGAUUGGAGCGGCCGAUAUCAGAUUAGGUAGUUGGUGAGGUAAAGACUCACCAAGCCGACGAUCUGUAGCUGGUCUGAGAGGACGACCAGCCACACUGGGACUGAGACACGGCCCAGACUCCGUACGGGAGGCAGCAGUGGGGAAUUUGGACAAUGGGCGCAAGCCUGAUCCAGCAAUGCCGCGUGCAGGAUGAAGGCCUUCGGGUUGUAAACUGCUUUUGUACGGAACGAAACGGUGAGCUCUAAUACAGUUUGCUAAUGACGGUACCGUAAGAAUAAGCACCGGCUAACUACGUG